CAAUAGCGUAUAUUAAAGUUGUUGCAGUUAAAAAGCUCGUAGUUGGAGUUCAGGGUGAGCUCAGCCGGUCGGCCUCAUGGGUCAGAACUGGUUGACUCUCUCUUGUUUGUGGAUCCCGCCGGGAGUUAACUCUCUCGAUGUGGAGUCCACAUCGUUUACCUUGAAAAAAUUAGAGUGUUCAAAGCAGGCGUUUGCUUGAAUAUAUUAGCAUGGAAUAAUGGAAUAGGACGCUGGUUCUAUUUUGUUGGUUUGAGAGCCAGAGUAAUGAUUAAUAGGGACAGUUGGGGGCAUUCAUAUUUCAUUGUCAGAGGUGAAAUUCUUG
rnacentral:rRNA from 1 species